rnacentral:rRNA from 1 species
UACGUAGGGGGCAAGCGUUGUCCGGAAUCAUUGGGCGUAAAGAGCGCGUAGGCGGCCCAGUAAGUCCGCUCUGAAAGUCAGGGGCUCAACCCCUGGAUGCGGGUGGAUACUGCUGGACUAGAGUUCGGAAGAGGCGAGUGGAAUUCCCGGUGUAGCGGUGAAAUGCGCAGAUAUCGGGAGGAACACCAAUGGCGAAGGCAGCUCGCUGGGACGUUACCGACGCUGAGACGCGAAAGCGUGGGGAGCAAACAGG